GGAGGAGCAGCAGCAGGAGGAGGAGCGGGCAGUGACCGUCUCCCUCCCGCACUUUCCAGACUGCCCAAACAAAGCUGGGCAGCAAGAGCUUGACUUGAGCUGAAGUACCUGAGGGACCAUCACUCCCCAACAGCAGCUGGAGAAUCCCUUGAUGCUGGCACCCUGAUCCUGAUUCCCUGAAGCCUGACUCAUAGAGUGCUGCAGGUUCGAUGUGAGUCCUGGAGGAUUUUGCAUCUGGGAUGAUAAAUCCGGAUGGAGUUGCCUCUUGUAGCUGCCCAUGGCUCUUCCACAUCUUAAUAAUACUGCUGAUAAUAGGGGAGGAAAAGGAUGUGAAAUAAAGAUUA